GUUCACCUGUUUAUCAAAAACAUGUCUAAAAGAAAAUUAAUUUUUAGUCCAAUCUGCCCAAUGAUUUAUAAUUUAAUGGCUGCAAAAUUAAUUAUUGUACAAAGGUAGCAUAAUAAUUUGUUUUUUAAUUAAAAACUAGAAUGAAUGAUUAAUUGAAAUAUAAACUUUCUCAAUUAUAUAAAAAUUUAAAUUUUUAUUUAAGUAAAAAAACUUAAAUAAAUAUAAAAGACGACAAGACCCUAUAGAAUUUUAUUUAUUAAAAUAUAAUUUUAUUAAAUUUAUAUAUAAAUAUAAAUAUUUUAAUAAAUUUAAUUGGGGUAAUUUAAAAAUUUAAUAAAUUUUUUAUUAUUAAUACAUUAAUUUAUGAAUAAUAAUUUCUUAAUUCUAAAAUUUAAAAUUAAUUACCUUAGGGAUAACAGCAUAAUUUUUUUUAAAAGACCUAAUUAAUAAAAAAGAUUAUGACCUCGAUGUUGAAUAAGAAU
rnacentral:rRNA from 1 species